AUUGAACGCUGGCGGCAGGCCUAACACAUGCAAGUCGAGCGGAGCUGCGGACGGGUGAGUAAUGCCUAGGAAUCUGCCUGGUAGUUGGGGAUAACGUCCGGAAACGGGCGCUCAUACCGCCUACUAUCACAUGAGCCUAGGUCGGAUUAGCUAGUUGGUGGGGUAAAGGCCUCCCAAGGCGACGACCCGUAACUGGUCUGAGAGGAUGAUCAGUAACACUGGAACUGAGACACGGUCCAGACGCCUACGGGAGGCAGAAGUGGGGAAGAUUGGACAAUGGGCGAAAGCCGGAUGCAGCCAUGCCGCGUGUGUGAAGAAGGUCUUCGGAUUGUAAAGCACUGUAAGUUGGGAGGCGUUACCAACAGAAUAAGCACCGGCUAACUUCGUGCCAGCAGCCGCGGUAAUUC
rnacentral:rRNA from 1 species